GACGAAGGGUGCGGGCGUUAUUCGUUUUGAUUGGGUGUAAAGGGUGCGUAGGUGGCGCCGUAAGUCGGGUGUGAAAUUUCGGAGCUUAACUCCGAAACUGCAUUCGAUACUGCGGUGCUUGAGGACUGGAGAGGAGACUGGAAUUCAUGGUGUAGCAGUGAAAUGCGUAGAGAUCAUGAGGAAGACCAGUGGCGAAGGCGGGUCUCUGGACAGUUCCUGACACUGAGGCACGAAGGCCAGGGGAGCAAACGGG
rnacentral:rRNA from 1 species